rnacentral:rRNA from 1 species
AGAGUUUGAUCCUGGCUCAGGACUAACGCUGGCGGCGUGCCUAACACAUGCAAGUCAAGGAGAACGUCCCUUUCGAGGGACUAUUAAACUGGCGGACGGGUGAGUAACGCGUAGGUAACCUGCCCCAGAGACCGGGACAACCCAUCGAAAGACGGGCUAAUACCGGAUAAUGCAGCGGAUCCUCAGGGAUAUGUUGUUAAAGGGGGCCUUCGGGUCCUGCUUUGGGAUGGGCCUGCGUCCGAUUAGUUAGUUGGUAAGAUAAAAGCUUACCAAGACGAUGAUCGGUAGCUGGUCUGAGAGGAUGAUCAGCCACACUGGGAUUGAGAUACGGCCCAGACUCCUACGGGAGGCAGCAGUGGGGAAUCUUGCGCAAUGGGCGAAAGCCUGACGCAGCAACGCCGCGUGACUGAUGAAGCUUCUAGGAGUGUAAAGGUCUGUCGUGAGGGAAGAACAGUAUCCAUGUAAAUAGCAUGGGCAUUUGACGGUACCUCACAAGAAAGCACCGGCUAACUUCGUGCCAGCAGCCGCGGUAAUACGAGGGGUGCUAGCGUUGUCCGGAAUCACUGGGCGUAAAGGGCGCGUAGGCGUCUUAGCAAGCCUUGAUUGAAAUCCCCCGGCUCAACCGGGGAACUGGUCAGGGAACUGCUAGGAUAGAGUUUGGUAGGGGAGAGCGGAAUUCCUGGUGUAGCGGUGAUAUGCGUAGAUAUCAGGAGGAACACCUAAAGCGAAAGGCAGCUCUCUGGGCCAAUACUGACGCUGAGGCGCGAAAGCGUGGGGAGCAAACAGGAUUAGAUACCCUGGUAGUCCACGCCGUAAACGAUGAGCACUUGGUGUCGGGGGAUUCGACCCCCUCGG